rnacentral:rRNA from 1 species
UACGAAGGGGGCGAGCGUUGUUCGGAAUUACUGGGCGUAAAGGGCGCGCAGGCGGCUCUGAAAGUCAGAUGUGAAAGCCCCGGGCUUAACCUGGGAAUUGCAUUUGAUACUCUGGAGCUUGAGUACGGGAGAGGAGAGUGGAAUUCCCAGUGUAGAGGUGAAAUUCGUAGAUACUGGGAGGAACACCAGUGGCGAAGGCGGCUACCUGGACCGGUUCUGACGCUGAGGCGCGAAAGCGUGGGUAGCAAACAGG